UUUCUAAUCCCAUCUGUGGUUUGGAACACCACGUUAAUCGGAGCGAGAGUGUCAAUAACUCCGCCCACACAUGCGYAGAGACGAUGUGUACGCUCGAGGCCGCUGGGAUGUCUUGUAUCGCACGUAGACGUAAGACCCGCGGUCUCGGUGUCAUUCCACCCACCUAACUUGAAUAAAUGCGAGGAACUUACAACUGGUAGCGUUGGAUCCCUCGGCAUGGCAUUCGAUGAAGGACGCGGCCAGCUGCGAAAUGUAAUGUGAAUUGCAACUCAAAGCGGUUAUCGUGAAUCAUUGACUUUUUGAACGCAUUGCACCGCCCUUUUGGGAGUGGUACGCCCGAUUGAGUGUCAUAAUGAUCCUCAGGCAAAGGCAUUUCAACCGUUCGCUCGGUGAGGGUGUUGAGGCUGCAAACCAUCUCUAUGAGGUGGUGGAGGCGUCGGCGCUCGGAUGCAUUUGCACUGGUAUCGAGACUGCACGGCACAUCCGGUGUCGCGUGUCUUCAGAACGAUUAGUGGUCGCUUGUCAUGUUCAAGUUUGACUCUGUGUAGUAACCAAAGAUGCAUGGAGGAGUGCYGCGUGCACGCUUGUGAUGAUGGCUCCGCUUCUAACUCGCCCUUGGGCAAACCUCAGGCUCUCGAGCCGAGCAUUAUGAAAUGGCCUCACUUKGGUGGGACGACCCRCUUGAUUUWAGCAWWUUAUUCAGCGGAGGAAAAGAAACUAACAMRGAUMCCCWAUCGWACGGCCGASUGARGAUGCUCAUGUGAAUCUCUGCGCGGAAAACUCUCGUAUCACAACUGUAGCGCCUGAACCAGGCUUGGUCUCUAACUGGAUGGCAAGCGGCCUAUAGCGUUACAUCCACUUGGUCGAAACCGUUCGCGAGGGGUUCUAUUCCAAUCUGAGACAUGUCUAGCUGAUUGUUGCAAUACGGCGUGUA
rnacentral:rRNA from 1 species